CGCCACUCUCGCUCCGACUCCCGCCGUUUCCGCGGCUCGUCCCAAACUUGUGCGCACUUCAAAACUAUCUCGACUUUUCGAUUCAAAUCGGAAGCUCAUUCAUCGCUAGCAAAACAAAAUAGCAACUUGUCUUCCUUGAUCGAAUUAUUUUUUGUUGUUAAACCAAUACCAAUUUUCGUAGCUCUUUGAUCGUUACCCGAAUUUGCGUUCCUCCUUCAUUUCUCGGCUGAAUGUUGAACAUCAAGCGCGGACGGGCGAAAGCAGUUAGAAUGAAAACGUUUGCUUUUGCAUCUGAACGGGUUGCGGCCCAAUGUUUGAUAUGUUUCGUGUUAGCGCUGACGGUGACUGAGUGUCUUCCGCUUUUCGAGACGGCCACGGCUGCUUCCGCUUCAUCGUCCACGUCGCCCUAUGUCGAAGAUUUGCUGCGUCUCUAUAACGUUAGCAACGAAGAUGUUGAGGCUUCUCGUCAAAAGCAAAUCGCCAUCCGUCAUUCGGCCAGUGUCAAUCAUCGCCAUUCGCCGCCAUCCAACCGCCAUCAACAACACGACCAGCACUUGUCGUCACUGCACCUUCCGGACGCGGCUUCACCUGCGUCCAGUCUAGACGCUCAAAUUAUCAUUCAUCAGCGCAAUAGAUUUUCCUAGUGUUGAAUCACCACCGACUACGCCACAGAAAACGACGGUGAUUCCUCGAUCUACUGCUAAACCCAGCACGAGUACGUGGCAACAAGGAAAUCGGGUUCAGUUUAUCAGCAACAAUUCUUAUUCAACUGGACGCCAAUCAACAGUCCGUAACUCAGGUUUACCUUUGUUACCAUGCUGGCCCCAGCAACUCACUGCCAUUAUUCUCCUGAUCGUGGUCAACAAGUUGCUGUUAUGAAUUGUUUCGUUACGAGGCCGUACAGUAUCCCUGUUUUUCAAAUCUUAAAUAAAUUAUAUAUUUCAAAUAGCUUCAACUCAGGUUGAACGCAAAGCCCCCGUGCUCACCAAAUGACAGUUUGCAACAAAAACCAAAAAAAACAACCGUAAAUCCAUUUUACCUGUUCUUCGUUAUACCCGACAAUUGUUUGUUUGUAAAUAUCACUAUACCUUUGCCAGUAAAUGCUGUAUACAUGCCAGAGAGAAAGAUUGGAAA